rnacentral:rRNA from 1 species
UACGGGGGGGGCAAGCGUUGUUCGGAAUUACUGGGCGUAAAGGGCGCGUAGGCGGCCUGCUAAGUCACACGUGAAAUCCCUCGGCUCAACCGGGGAACUGCGUGUGAUACUGGCGGGCUUGAAUUCGGGAGAGGGAUGUGGAAUUCCAGGUGUAGCGGUGAAAUGCGUAGAUAUCUGGAGGAACACCGGUGGCGAAGGCGGCAUCCUGGACCGAGAUUGACGCUGAGGCGCGAAAGCCAGGGGAGCAAACGGG